UACGUAGGUGGCAAGCGUUGUCCGGAAUUAUUGGGCGUAAAGAGCAUGUAGGCGGAGAUUUAAGUCUGUUGUGAAAAUGCGGGGCUCAACCCCGUAUUGCGAUGGAAACUGAAUUUCUUGAGUGCAGGAGAGGAAAGGGGAAUUCCCAGUGUAGCGGUGAAAUGCGUAGAUAUUGGGAGGAACACCAGUGGCGAAGGCGCCUUUCUGGACUGUGUCUGACGCUGAGAUGCGAAAGCCAGGGUAGCGAACGGGAUUAGAUACCCCGGUAGUCCUGGCCGUAAACGAUGGGUACUAGGUGUAGGGGGUAUCGACCCCCCCUGUGCCGGAGUUAACGCAAUAAGUACCCCGCCUGGGGAGUACGGCCGCAAGGUUGAA
rnacentral:rRNA from 1 species